UUCUGUAUGUACUUUUACUUGCAGGUGUAUGUACCUAUUGGUUUUGAAUCUGUCUGUAGCAAACUGGCUGUCAUGAAAAAAGUUGCAAACAGAUCAUUGCAUUACACCGGUAGACAUAAAUUAGUAAAGAAAUGUAUAGGGGACCAUUUUGGCAUGAGGUCCGCGUAUGCUAUUUUGCCAAAACACAUUCCACUAACUAACUAUCCUUAGACAACUGAACAAGUGAAACUGAGGAACCUAUGGAACACUGUAAUGACAGACGUGUCUCACAGAUGUUGAAAUUUUUUUUGUUUGCCUCCAUUGACACUAAUGCAUACUCUGUGUAUGGAGAAAAACUAUGUAGCUACAUUAUUGAUGCUAAGUGGCUCUAACAUAUUUUCCCCUUUACCAAGUAAUUUAACUUUUAUAAGGAGCUGGGACCUUGUUACAGAUGAAAAAAUUACCCGGAGCCGAAAUAUUUAAACACCUAGCUAAACACGACUCUUGCCUUUUGGAUAUUACCGCAUUUAACAUCCUUUGUUAAAAAAAAAAUAAAUAAUCAUUUGAAACUGUCAUUUUGACAGUUGCUGGAAGCCACGACAGAAGGUAAAAAUGAAGUACUGAAACUUCAGUUAGUGUGAAUAUAUCACUGUUGAUAAACUUCGAUAAAUUGCAAGUUUGUUCUACAAGUGCAGUUUGCAGAGUGGUCCAGCUAUGAAAUGUAAAGAAGAUAACAGCAAACCAAGGCCAAAUGUGGGACUGCCAGUGGCUAAAAGAUAUUUUGUUAAAUGCUGCUGUGGUAGAUCAUAUGAGCUGUGUGUCAUACAUUAUCAGAUGGGAUGUGCCCGGCGUAAUCAUUUCUCUGACAAAGUAAAUUUAUUUAGGGUUUAGGCGGUUAUCGUUGUCUGGUUGAAUGCAUAAUUAGGUGAUUACUGUAAUCAUAGCUGAAAGGAUAAGAAGAAUGUGCGUUAGAUUUGUUAGCUGAAGUGUCAGAGGCAGAGAGAAGCUGCUAAGUUAUGUGCCGAGAUACAGUCAAUAUUUAGGGGGAAAAUAUUUGCUAACCAGUUAUCUGGGAAACAGACCAACAAAUAAUGUCCUUUUUAUGGAUCACUGUUGUAGUGUGAUCCCUUAUUUAAGGGAUUAUGCUGCCAGGCAUUUAUCUGGCCUUCCAGCUUCCAUAGCUUUUGAAAAUUCCUGUACCAGGUUCCAUCUCUAUGCUGCUAUUGUCACUAAGGUGUUUAAUGUAAAGGAGAGGGGCAUCUAUAUAAUCUUCAGUUCUGUUUUGAGCAUUAAUGAAUCAGUUGGUACCAUUUUUCCAUUUUUAAAUCCUGAGCUGAAGAAGUGAGGAAUUACUUUCAGUUUUUAUAUUGCAUUAUGUUAUGAUUUUGCUGUAAAUUUGUAUUUUGGAGGUCUUUCUGGGGCCAGUGUUGUCAUCAUAAAAGGUCUGACGAGUGCUACUGGUCAGCAGAUUACAUUAAAGGACAAUUGUUUUGAGUGCCUUUUCUGCCUUGGUCCUUCAUAUAAAGGUUGAGGUAAUUUGUGUGCUUGCUUUGAACAAGAAGCUGUGCAGAUGCAUUUCUGAAACAGCUGCCUACAUUAGUCCAGGGAACUCUUACUCUUGAAUCAAAAUGACACUGCUCAGAGAAGUAAUAUUCAGUGCAAAUCAUGCAAAAUUUUAAUUAAGAUCUAUAUUAAGUGAUAAGGUUAGAGCUGUUCUUUCAUUUAACACCCCUGGCCCUUUCUCUUUGUGUAUACUCUUAUCAAACCCUGGUGUGGAAGGCAGUCUCCAAAUUGGCAGUCUAAACUUCUAAUUGGCCUACUGUUACUCUGAUCUUUUCCCUCCGUAAUUAUUUACUCCAAGGCCUCACAAAGUGCUGUUAAAUACACCCUAGAUAUUUUUAAAUCUGUUGGACUGGAUUACCAGUAUUCUGGUAUCAUGAAAUGGCGCGGAGGUGUGCCGAGCCACUCGCUCUACACCACUUUUUUCCACAGAUAUGAACGUUCACUGAAAUGAAGGUUCGAUGAAGAAAGGUUAGCUGAAGUAACUCUGAAUUUAAUAUAGACCCCCCCCCCCCACGUGAGGAUUACAAGAAAGGGGUUAAAACUUAAUGAUGCGAGCUAGAAAGGGGGGAAAAGUUAAGAGAUGUGAAGUCCAGUGCAUGUUGCAUUGCAUUUCUGUAGCUGGUUAGGAUUGGUGGUGUUCUUACUUGCCUUCAACUAAUAAUUUUUUCUCCCUUCCCUAGAAUCACCAUGCAAAAAGAAGGGCAAAUUUAACUUUUGCUAACAGUAGAAAAUGUGGCUUGGUUCUUUUGUACACUUUCACUCAUUCUCGCUUUAUAAUUUAGCAAAUUCUUAAUAUGCAGAGGAUUUUAAUGUUUGUAAAUUUGUUGCAAGCAUGAGAGAGUUGCAUCUCCAAAUUCCUGAUCCACUCAAGUUAUCACAAUUAAAAUCUUGCAUGCCACAGAGGAAUAUGUGCAUUACAUUUUUGGUUGAGCUAAUAAUGUUUCUGCACAGUUGUUUUCUUGCUUAUGUAAUUGCCAUUUAAUUUUGUUGUGCUUUCAUUAUAAGGGAACUUUUUAUGUAGUCUUUAUUCUAGGACUAUGUUAUCAUAAAAGUAGUUUCUUUGUAAUGCUAAUUUGUUUUCUUGUGGCUACCAGGAAUGUUCCAUAUCGCAUCCGUGUACGCUUAUCUAGAAAGCGCAAUGAGGAUGAAGAUUCCCCUAACAAGCUGUAUACAUUGGUCACAUAUGUGCCUGUGACAACAUUCAAAGGUCUCCAGACGGUGAAUGUUGAUGAGAACUGAAAAAAUGUUGAAAUAAAGAUUUAAAAAAAAAAAAUA